rnacentral:rRNA from 1 species
AGUUUGAGUUCUGGCUACAGGACGAACGGCUGGCGGCGUGCUUAACACAUGCAAGUCGAACGGGGAUUACGGGAUUGAGAGCUUCGGCAGGAUAUCGUGUAAUUCGAGUGGCGACGGGUGAGUAACGCGUGAGCAAUCUGUCCCAGACAGGGGAAUAACACUUGGAAACAGGUGCUAAUACCGCAUAAGACCACGAGGCGGCAUCGCCAUGGGGUAAAAGGUGCAAACCGGUUUGGGGUGAGCUCGCGUCCGAUUAGAUAGUUGGUGAGGUAACGGCCCACCAAGUCGACGAUCGGUAGCCGACCUGAGAGGGUGAACGGCCACAUUGGAACUGAGAGACGGUCCAAACUCCUACGGGAGGCAGCAGUGGGGAAUAUUGGGCAAUGGGCGAAAAAGCCUGACCCAGCAACGCCGCGUGAGUGAAGAAGGCUUUCGGGUUGUAAAGCUCUGUUAUAGGGGACGAAGGAAGUGACGGUACCCUAUAAGGAAGCCCCGGCUAACUACGUGCCAGCCGCCGC